CAGCCGCCGCGGUAAUACGUAGGUGGCAAGCGUUGACCGGAAUUACUGGGCGUAAAGGGCUCGCAGGCGGUUUCUUAAGUCUGAUGUGAAAGCCCCCGGCUCAACCGGGGAGGGUCAUUGGAAACUGGGAAACUUGAGUGCAGAAGAGGAGAGUGGAAUUCCACGUGUAGCGGUGAAAUGCGUAGAGAUGUGGAGGAACACCAGUGGCGAAGGCGACUCUCUGGUCUGUAACUGACGCUGAGGAGCGAAAGCGUGGGGAGCGAACAGGAUUAGAUACCCCUGUAGUCCCUGUCUCUUAUAC
rnacentral:rRNA from 1 species